rnacentral:rRNA from 1 species
AUUGAACGCUGGCGGCAGGACUAACACAUGCAAGUCGAACGAGUGGCGGACGGGUGAGUAAUGUCUGGGAAACUGCCUGAUGGAGGGGGAUAACUACUGGAAACGGUAGCUAAUACCGCAUACCAUCGGAUGUGCCCCGAUGGGAUUAGCGAGUAGGUGGGGUAAAGGCUCACCUAGGCGAAGAUCCCUAGCUGGUCUGAGAGGAUGCCCAGCCACACUGGAACUGAGACACGGUCCAGACUCCUACGGGAGGCAGACGUGGGGAAUAUUGCACAAUGGGCGCAAGCCUGAUGCAGCCAUGCCGCGUGUAUGAAGAAGGCCUGCGGUUUGUAAAGUACUUUUAGCGGGGAGGCGUUACUCGCAGAAGAAGCAACGGCUAACUCCGUGCCAGCAGCCGCGGUAAUAC